rnacentral:rRNA from 1 species
GGGCAGGGGCGGCAUGCUAUACAUGCAGUCGAACGCUUCUUUUUCCCCGGAGCUUGCUCCACCGGAAAAAGAAGAGUGGCGAACGGGUGAGUAACACGUGGGUAACCUGCCCAUCAGAAGGGGAUAACACUUGGAAACAGGUGCUAAUACCGUAUAACAAUCAAAACCGCAUGGUUUUGAUUUGAAAGGCGCUUUCGGGUGUCGCUGAUGGAUGGACCCGCGGUGCAUUAGCUAGUUGGUGAGGUAACGGCUCACCAAGGCCACGAUGCAUAGCCGACCUGAGAGGGUGAUCGGCCACAUUGGGACUGAGACACGGCCCAAACUCCUACGGGAGGCAGCAGUAGGGAAUCUUCGGCAAUGGACGAAAGUCUGACCGAGCAACGCCGCGUGAGUGAAGAAGGUUUUCGGAUCGUAAAACUCUGUUGUUAGAGAAGAACAAGGAUGAGAGUAACUGUUCAUCCCUUGACGGUAUCUAACCAGAAAGCCACGGCUAACUACGUGCCAGCAGCCGCGGUAAUACGUAGGUGGCAAGCGUUGUCCGGAUUUAUUGGGCGUAAAGCGAGCGCAGGCGGUUUCUUAAGUCUGAUGUGAAAGCCCCCGGCUCAACCGGGGAGGGUCAUUGGAAACUGGGAGACUUGAGUGCAGAAGAGGAGAGUGGAAUUCCAUGUGUAGCGGUGAAAUGCGUAGAUAUAUGGAGGAACACCAGUGGCGAAGGCGGCUCUCUGGUCUGUAACUGACGCUGAGGCUCGAAAGCGUGGGGAGCAAACAGGAUUAGAUACCCUGGUAGUCCACGCCGUAAACGAUGAGUGCUAAGUGUUGGAGGGUUUCCGCCCUUCAGUGCUGCAGCUAACGCAUUAAGCACUCCGCCUGGGGAGUACGACCGCAAGGUUGAAACUCAAAGGAAUUGACGGGGGCCCGCACAAGCGGUGGAGCAUGUGGUUUAAUUCCAAACAACCCGAAAAACCUUACCAGGUCUUGACAUCCUUUUACCACUCUAAAAAUAAAACUUCCCCUU